AUGGUGAAUAGCUCGGUGCUCCGGGCUCACCGUGUCAGGGGCCUCAUUUCCAACCACGUGACACCUUUGGCCCACCACAAGUCAAUCUGCUCACCACCUGCAGCACCCUCUACUCAAUAGCGCCCCCAGCUUUGUGUGCCGGUCUAGGGGCUUCGGGGACAUGAAUGGGUGCGGGGGGUUGGUGGAGUCACUCAAGAGAUUCUGUGCUUCCUUGAGGCUUCCCCCACCCCUCUGCUGCUGUCCCCGGAGGAAGAAGCCACCAAUGGUUGGGAGGGGCUCUUGCACUUCAGUUCCUGGACAUUUUCCAUCCAGGAUAUGGUACAACCUUUUACCCUGCAAGUUCGGAGACCCCCUGGUCUCUGUGACUGUGUCAGAUGCCUCCUGGGUCUCGAACUGCUGUGGUCACUUUUUGUCCCUUUCAUGGUGUAUCAAGUAAGGUGGCUUCGUCCUAUUCAUCGCCAGCUAGGGGAGAGGAAUGAGGAGUGUGCACUCCGUGUCCAGCAGCUGUUGGCCAGGUACAGCAGGACUUGGGGCACACAGGGACCUGGCUCACUCCAACAGACAAAAGCAGAGCACAGGAAGCGACAAAGACACCAUGGAUGGCGCCCCCAGUCAGCCCAGUCGUCUUUCCCUCCCUCCCCUGGCCUUUCUCCUGAUGUGCAGCUGGCAGCUGUGGCUCGGAGAGUCAGGAGGUUUUGCCCCAUGCGCCACUGGGUGUGAUCUAGAAAGACCUGGCUAGGACUGGCUGUGUAGACUUGACCAUCACUAAUCUGCUUGAGGAGGCCAUAGCUUUUAUGCCUGAAGACAUCGCUGAGGGAACUCAGUCCCUGCCACAGCCUCUGCCUCCAAGUUCCCCAGCUCUGUCCCGGUGACCCCUCAGCCCACAGCCCUAACUUGUGCCAGGUCUUCCUGGGCCCAGCAGGAGAGUCUGCAGGAGCGCGAGCCAGCCCUGUAUGCAUGCGCGAGAGACAGGAUGGCGCCCAGAGCCUCAGGACCGAGACUGCGGGCAGCCCUCGCCCAACACACAACAGGCUGCAUGGCUGGGUGGUAAAAAGGGAGGGAUGAGGCUCCCCCAAUAUCACAUUAAAUUUAGGGUUGUCA